UCAUGAAUCUAAACUGGAGGCUUAUUGUAUCUGGAUCAAGAUAAUCAACGGAAGAUUCGUAUUCUACGUUCCUCGAGAAUCAACAUGAUAACAAGAACAAGUAGAGAAAUUGAUGAAUCGGAAGCAUAUUUGGAACUUACCGGUGGUGGAGACUCUUCAAUAUGCUCAAAGGGAGAAGAAAAUACCAGAGGCACCGACUCAAUUCCAGAUGCUGUUGAUGUGUUGAAAUCAUGGUGAAAGUGAUGAAAUUGGUGAUGACGAUGAGGAUUAGCGAUUAUGAGAGUUGCUGAAGAUUGAAGAAUCUGAAUCGGUGAUGACGAUUGAUGAACUUGCAGAAGAUCGAAGGCUCGGAAUAUGAAGUUGUGAAGAAGAUGAAUUGUGUGAGAGGAAGAGAGAGUGAUGAAAAUGAAGAAUGAAGAAGAUGAAGAUUGAGGUUAUUGAAGGAGAGUGAAGAUGGGAGAAGAUGAAUGAAGAAAAUGGUGGAGAGA